rnacentral:rRNA from 1 species
AUUGAACGCUGGCGGCAUGCCUUACACAUGCAAGUCGAACGGCAGCACGGGGCAACCUGGUGGCGAGUGGCGAACGGGUGAGUAAUGUAUCGGAACGUACCUUUCAGUGGGGGAUAACGUAGCGAAAGUUGCGCUAAUACCGCAUAUUCUGUGAGCAGGAAAGCAGGGGAUCGCAAGACCUUGCGCUGAUUGAGCGGCCGAUAUCAGAUUAGCUAGUUGGUGAGGUAAAGGCUCACCAAGGCGACGAUCUGUAGCGGGUCUGAGAGGAUGAUCCGCCACACUGGAACUGAGACACGGUCCAGACUCCUACGGGAGGCAGCAGUGGGGAAUUUUGGACAAUGGGGGCAACCCUGAUCCAGCCAUGCCGCGUGAGUGAAGAAGGCCUUCGGGUUGUAAAGCUCUUUCGGCCGGGAAGAAAUCGUAUCAGCUAAUACCUGGUGCGGAUGACGGUACCGGCAUAAGAAGCACCGGCUAACUACGUGCCAGCCGCCGCCGUAACAC